rnacentral:rRNA from 1 species
AUUGAACGCUGGCGGCAGGCCUAACACAUGCAAGUCGAACGAGUGGCGGACGGGUGAGUAAUGUCUGGGAAACUGCCCGAUGGAGGGGGGUAACUACUGGAAACGGUAGCUAAUACCGCAUACCAUCGGAUGUGCCCAGAUGGGAUUAGCUCGUAGGUGGGGUAACGGCUCACCUAGGCGACGAUCCCUAGCUGGUCCGAGAGGAUGACCAGCCGCACUGGAACUGAGACACGGUCCAGACUCCUACGGGAGGCAGCAAUGGGGAAGAUGGCACAAUGGGCGCAAGCCUGAUGCAGUCAUGCCGCGUGUAUGAAGAAGGCCUGCGGGUUGUAAAGUACUUUAAGCGAGGAGGCGUUACUCGAAGAAGAAGCACCGGCUAACUCCGUGCAAGCAGCCGCGGUAAUAC